rnacentral:misc_RNA from 1 species
GAUGAAGAACGUAGUGAAAUGCGAUAAGUAAUGUGAAUUGCAGAAUUCAGUGAAUCAUCGAAUCUUUGAACGCACAUUGCGCCCGCCGGUAUUCCGGCGGGCAUGCCUGUUCGAGCGUCAUUUCAACCAUCAAGCCCUGGGCUUGUGUUGGGGACCUGCGGCUGCCGCAGGCCCUGAAAUGCAGUGGCGGGCUCGCAAGACACACCGAGCGUAGUAGCUUACAACCUCGCUUUGGGAGUGCUGCGGGUGCUGGCCGUAAAGCGACCUUUUGCGUCUUUAGCACUAGGUUGACCUCGGAUCAGGUAGGAGGACCCGCUGAACUUAAGCAUAUCAAUAAGCGGAGGA